rnacentral:rRNA from 1 species
GACGAACGCUGGCGGCGUGCCUAAUACAUGCAAGUCGAACGGUCUUUUCUAUGGAAGCUUGCUUCCGCUGAGAAGAUAGUGGCGAACGGGUGAGUAACACGUGGGUAACCUGCCCAUAAGAGGGGGAUAACAUCCGGAAACGGGUGCUAAUACCGCAUAGUUUUCUUGAUCGCAGGAUUGAGAAAGGAAAGACGGCCUUUGUGCUGUCGCUUAUGGAUGGACCCGCGGCGUAUUAGUUAGUUGGUGAGGUAACGGCUCACCAAGACGAUGAUACGUAGCCGACCUGGGAGGGUGAUCGGCCACAUUGGGACUGAGACACGGCCCAAACUCCUACGGGAGGCAGCAGUAGGGAAUCUUCCGCAAUGGACGAAAGUCUGACGGAGCAACGCCGCGUGAGUGAAGAAGGUUUUCGGAUCGUAAAACUCUGUUGUCAGAGAAGAACAAGUCGGAGAGUAACUGCUCCGGCCUUGACGGUAUCUGACCAGAAAGCCACGGCUAACUACGUGCCAGCCGCCGCGGUAAAAC